CUUGUUAGGAUUACACAAUUAACUAUAUUUCAAACCAUUAAAAUACUAAGAAAUACUACAAUGCUUUCUCCUAGUAAAAAUAUUCCUUCAUCAAUUGAUAACAACAAUAAGCAAACCCUGCACUCUCAAAAGACCGCUCAAAAUACAAUAAUUUCCAUCCAACACUAGGAAUAACAGACUUCACUCCAAUCAAUCUGAAUUCACAUAAUUUCUGUAAUCAUAGACUUUCUCUGUCCAAAAUACUCAUAGCUCUCAAUAAACAACAAUCAUAAUCUUCCAAUAACUCCUCAUAUAAUUCAAUCACUCAGUGCUCCAAUUACAUAACCAAUAAUUCAUAAAUAAAUCUCUGAUUUAUUGCAUAGAUUCACUUCUCAGUAUUCAGAAACUAUCCAUUAUUCUUCAAUAAUAAAGAAAAUAAAGAAACAAAGAGGUAGCACCAAGCUUACCCCGGCUCAUGACUAUCACAAUCUAUUACCCCAA
rnacentral:lncRNA from 1 species